rnacentral:rRNA from 1 species
UACGUAGGUGGCAAGCGUUUGUCCGGAUUUAUUGGGUUUAAAGGGUGCGUAGGCGGCUUAUUAAGUCAGUGGUGAAAUACUCUAGCUCAACUAGAGGGGUGCCAUUGAUACUGAUGAGCUUGAGUACAGAUGAGGUAGGCGGAAUUGACGGUGUAGCGGUGAAAUGCUUAGAUAUCGUCAAGAACACCUAUAGCGAAGGCGCU